UACGAAGGGGGCUAGCGUUGCUCGGAAUCACUGGGCGUAAAGGGUGCGUAGGCGGGUCUUUAAGUCAGGGGUGAAAUCCUGGAGCUCAACUCCAGAACUGCCUUUGAUACUGAAGAUCUUGAGUUCGGGAGAGGUGAGUGGAACUGCGAGUGUAGAGGUGAAAUUCGUAGAUAUUCGCAAGAACACCAGUGGCGAAGGCGGCUCACUGGCCCGAUACUGACGCUGGAGG
rnacentral:rRNA from 1 species